GACACGCUGGCGGCGUGCCUAACACAUGCAAGUCGAACGGGGUAAAGAGCUUCGGUUUUUUACUUAGUGGCGAACGGGUGAGUAACGCGUGAAGAACCUGCCUUUCAGUGGGGGACAACAGUUGGAAACGACUGCUAAUACCGCAUGACACUGAUGAGGGGCAUCCCUUAUCAGUCAAAGCUUAAUGUGCUGAAAGAUGGCUUCGCGUCUGAUUAGCUAGUUGGCGGGGUAACGGCCCACCAAGGCGACGAUCAGUAGCCGGUCUGAGAGGAUGAACGGCCACAUUGGGACUGAGAUACGGCCCAGACUCCUACGGGAGGCAGCAGUUGGGAAUAUUGGACAAUGGAGGAAACUCUGAUCCAGUGACGCCGCGUGAAGGAAGAAGGUCUUCGGAUUGUAAACUUAUUUUGUCAGGGAAGAAAUAAAUGACUGUACCUGAAGAAAAAGCACCGGCUAACUACGUG
rnacentral:rRNA from 1 species